rnacentral:rRNA from 1 species
UACGUAGGGGGCUAGCGUUGUCCGGAAUCAUUGGGCGUAAAGCGCGUGUAGGCGGUCCGGUAAGUCCGCUGUGAAAGUCGGGGGGCUCAACCCUCGGAUGCCGGUGGAUACUGUCGGGCUUGAGUACGGAAGAGGCGAGUGGAAUUCCUGGUGUAGCGGUGAAAUGCGCAGAUAUCAGGAGGAACACCAAUUGCGAAGGCAGCUCGCUGGGACGUUACUGACGCUGAGACGCGAAAGCGUGGGGAGCAAACGGG